AACGCGAAGAACCUUACCUGGGCUUGACAUGUUCCGGACGGUCGCGCGGAGACGCGGCUUCCCUUCGGGGCCGGUUCACAGGUGGUGCAUGGUCGUCGUCAGCUCGUGUCGUGAGAUGUUGGGUUAAGUCCCGCAACGAGCGCAACCCUCGCCUUGUGUUGCCAGCGCGUCAUGGCGGGAACUCACAAGGGACCGCCGGGGUUAACUCGGAGGAAGGUGGGGAUGACGUCAGAUCAUCAUGCCCCUUACGUCCAGGGCUUCACGCAUGCUACAAUGGCCGGUACAACGGGAUGCGACACCGCGAGGUGGAGCGGAUCCCUGAAAACCGGUCUCAGUUCGGAUCGCAGUCUGCAACUCGACUGCGUGAAGGCGGAGUCGCUAGUAAUCGCGAAUCAGCAACGUCGCGGUGAAUGCGUUCCCGGGUCUUGUACACACCG
rnacentral:rRNA from 1 species